GAGGUACAGGGUCAUAGUUUACUCAAUGAUGAGUCCGUGGCGAACCGUUCGGCACAUCACUAUUCCUAGCCUAUAGCUUCUCUUUAAAUGAAAGAAAAAAUUGUAUUGCUAAUGCUUAGUUAUAUAUCUGACAUAGAUCCGUCUCAUUAGAGAUUUUGUUUUAAACCUGAAAAGAAGUCCUGAAAACCUGAAAAGAGUCCCCUAGUGAG